CCUACGGGUGGCAGCAGUGAGGAAUAUUGGUCAAUGGACGCAAGUCUGAACCAGCCAUGCCGCGUGCAUGAAGACGGCUCUAUGAGUUGUAAACCGCUUUUGUACGAGGGUAAACUCUGAUACGCGUACUUUUCUGUAUGUACCUUACGAAUAAGGAUCGGCUAACUCCGUGCCAGCAGCCGCGGUAAUACGGAGGGUUCAAGCGUUACUCGGAUUUAUUGGGCUUAAAGGGUGCGUAGGCGGUCGGGUAAGUCAGAGGUGAAAUCCCGAGGCUCAACUUCGGAAUUGCCUCUGAUACUGUUAGGCUAGAGAGUAGUUGCGGUAGGCGGAAUGUAUGGUGUAGCGGUGAAAUGCGUAGAGAUCAAACAGAACACCGAUUGCGAAGGCGGCUUACCAGGCUACGUCUGACGUUGAGGCGCGAAAGCGUGGGGAGCAAACAGGAUUAGAUACCCCAGUAGUC
rnacentral:rRNA from 1 species